GAAACGCUCACAGGGACAGCAAGAGGGAGAAGGGGGAGAGGUGAGGAGGAAGCCAAGUGACGGAACACCUCACUGAGUGCCAGAGAGAUGCUGCCGGAGCUGCCCCAGCUGAAGCGACAAGGCGUGUUUUUGUCACCACCCGAGAUAAUCAGAGCCUUCUGUGGAGACAGAGGAGCAGUAUUCACAGAACCUAUCUGUGCAAGGAGGCACUUUAAGAACAGUACAAUGAAUUGGAGCUGCAGCGUGUCCUACACAGCCCCAAAAUCGCCUUUCCAAGACGUCCAUGUUCAUCACAGCAGCAUCUUUAGAUCAGAGCCAUGCAGGGACAGGCAUGGCCGCGUCUUGAAAUAUCAUCUCGUCCACCUAUGAGCCUGAAGGCAGAAUCGAUGCUACCGAUGUAACUGCUGAUAGAGCACUGCCCUGCUCCUAAAGAUGUGCAAUGAUGGAAAUCACACAGCCUCUGCAGUCACUACUUUAUCGGUCUUAAGUACAGAAAGGGUUUCCUAUUGCCCAACCAUGACUCCUUGCUGAGAUUCUAAUGCAGUUUUUAUUAAUUUGACCACUAAUACAGCUGAAAAGAAGGACAUUGCUGGCCCUGGGCUCAGAGGUAUUUCAUAGCACAGCCAGAAGGUGAGUCUGAAUAUCCUGAGCUGCAGUCAGGCUUUGAAAGGAAAUUAUCUUUUGCUUUGGAAAAAAAAAAGAUGGAGUGCACAAACAGGAAAGGAUGCAGCGCUCACACCAGAAAGCUUCAUAAAAUAUAAAGCAAAGAACAUCUCUUUUAGAGGAGGAAUGCUCUGUUUGCCACCUCAGGAAGGAAGGAGCAGCUGUGAGGUACUCACUGCCCCUGGAACCUUCAGGCAGCAUCGUUUGGUUCAGCCCCAUGGCACACUUCUGCAUCUGGCAAACAUCACUAAGGUGCAAACCUGAGGCAGAGCUGAUUGGUGGCGGAGGUACGGAGAGAUGCUGUGUAUCUUACCCUGAAAUCCUGGGUAACAGCUAAUGGGAAUGAAACAACAACGCAAAGGAAAAUUCCUAUUGGGUUCGAGAAGCCCGGCUGCUUCUCAUUCAAGGCAUUUGCUUUUGUAGUUGUUUCUGUUUAAAAUUCUACAGCCAAAUUUAUCUGUACUAUAACACCAUUGAUUUCAAUGGGCUUACAGCAGGGAUAAAGAUGCUAACGCUCACUUAUCUUAUCCCCCCCUGUAAUUUGUCCUCCAUCAGGUAAAGCUCUGCUUGGCAGCCAGGAUACAGGGAAUUGUUCCAGCUGGUGUCCCUGUGACAUUUCAUUACGCUGGUCUUUUAAAGCUUAUCAUUAGAGGUACUGAAGUCUUGUUGGAAGAACUUAAUUGCCAUCUCUUUUCCCUGACUGAAGAUGCAUUUGAAAAGUCAACUUGCAUUUUUGAUUUUUCUUCAGUUUCUCAAGGUCUUUGUGCUGCACAGCAUUUUAAAUCCCUCCAUCUGCUUCACUCACUCUUCACCUGGAUUUGCAUACCCCACUGCUUCUCACUGCUCACGUUCCCAUUCCUUCCCAGUCAGACACUACAGCAAGAACUGCUGCCCCUCCCUUCAAAAUACCCCAAACAUACAAAGCAAACAUCCAAAAGGCUCUUCCCAAACCACAUAGUGCUCCUUCCUCCACCUCACUCCAAAUAAUGCUAACACAGAAAGAUAUAAAUAUUUCUGUCUGCAAUAGACGUGUAUGUAAAGCUAACAGGAGGUCUGUGGAUAAUUAUCCAUCUGGAAAUUGGAUUUUAAGUGCUGUAAAGCAAAUUUUGUUUUGAGCUUCGCUGCUAUGGAGUAUUAAAGGUGAAGUGAAACUUCUGAGC
ensembl:lncRNA